AACGAACGCUGGCGGCAUGCCUAACACAUGCAAGUCGAACGAGACCUUCGUGUCUAGUGGCGCACGGGUGCGUAACGCGUGGGAACCUGCCCUUAGGUUCGGAAUAACUCCCCGAAAGGGGUGCUAAUACCGGAUAAUGUCUUCGGACCAAAGAUUUAUCGCCUUUGGAUGGGCCCGCGUUGGUUUAGCUAGUUGGUAGGGUAAAAGCCUACCAAGGCGACGAUCCAUAGCUGGUCUGAGAGGAUGAUCAGCCACACUGGGACUGAGACACGGCCCAGACUACUACGGGAGGCAGCAGUGGGGAAUAUUGGACAAUGGGCGAAAGCCUGAUCCAGCAAUGCCGCGUGAGUGAUGAAGGCCUUAGGGUUGUAAAGCUCUUUUACCCGGGAUGAUAAUGACAGUACCGGGAGAAUAAGCUCCGGCUAACUCCGUG
rnacentral:rRNA from 1 species